UGGAGAGCACCAGGAGCGGUGCUCGCGAUCUCAAUACAUCAUGUUAGUAGUGUUACAAUUGGUAUCAGAUUCAUCUCCGAUCCUAGCGGAUCCUCUGGCGCAUACCUUGUGUCCGCAAUACCAGAUGCGUCCAGAAGCAGUCCGAAGCAAUGGAGAUAUGGCAGCUCUCCUUCAGUCCAUUCAAGCGCAAAAUGAUGUGAUUAAACAGGCUUUGGAGGAGAAUACAUCCGUGGUUUGAGAUCUUGCUACGUGGAAGCCACACAUGGAGGUUGAGGUGAGUUCUCUCCGCGCCGAUGUGGGACAUUUAUCACAGAAAGUGGAUACUCCAGUAGCCUUUCAGGAAGCUCUGCACCCUGCACUCAAGGUGUUCGAUCGAAUGCCUCAGGACUACACAACCCCGGUUGGUGCUCAGAAGGAUUCAGUUCUUCUUCAUCAGCACUUGGGUCAUCGCAAUUUAGACUCCCACCUGAGUGAUGGAUAUGGGGUAUUCACUACCUUGACUCCAUCUAUAGUCACGGGUAUUCAUAAUGCUCCUCCACCUGUUACACCAAUUCAUUCUCCAUUGCAUACUGCUCCCCAUCAAUUUGAACACUUAUUGUCUGUAUACUCUAUUCAAUUGGCUGUCUCUUUACCCCAACUCAGUUUUCCUCGGUUUGAUAGUCAGACCACCCUAAAAUGUGAAAAACAAAGUGUGAAUAAUAUUUUGAAGUGUUUUCC